rnacentral:rRNA from 1 species
UACAGAGGUCUCAAGCGUUGUUCGGAUUCAUUGGGCGUAAAGGGUGCGUAGGCGGCGCGGUAAGUCGGGUGUGAAAUCUCGGAGCUUAACUCCGAAACUGCAUUCGAUACUGCCGUGCUUGAGGACUGGAGAGGAGACUGGAAUUUACGGUGUAGCGGUGAAAUGCGUAGAUAUCGUAAGGAAGACCAGUGGCGAAGGCGGGUCUCUGGACAGUUCCUGACGCUGAGGCACGAAGGCGAGGGGAGCAAACGGG